GUGCUCACUUUGGCAGCACAUAUACUAAAAUUAGAAUGAUACAGAGAAGAUUAGCAUGGCCCCUGCUCAAGGAUGACAUACAAAUUCAUGAAGUGUUCCAUAUUAAA
rnacentral:snRNA from 1 species